CUAAUUUGCUGAAAGUGACCCAGCAUCGUCAGGGGCCAGGCCAAAUGCUCAGUGAGUGUCUGCUCUGCACCUGAGCCUUCUGCUGGACCCGUGAUGAACUGUGGCCCAUGUCUCCAGAAAGCCA
rnacentral:precursor_RNA from 8 species